CGCGCACGCCCCCGGGGCCAGGCCUCCCCCCUGCGAGUCUGUGCUCUUGGUACGGCCCGACCGGCCACGCCCCCUCGCCUGCCGGCUCAGCCGCCGGGCUUGAGAACCCGGCACCGCGUUGCAGAUGGGAGGGGAGCGCCGGCGCUGGCAGCUCCUCCCGUCCCCGACGUGCUUUGCCCGGAGCCGGCUGCCCGCCCUCCCUUGGGGCCCCGCGGGGCGGUGGCUGUGCGCCGCGCCGUCUGGCUUCCUACCGCUCGCGAUCUGCUGCGAAUUCCUUUUGGAACAGUGGGCAACUCACUUCAUUCAGAGCCCGUUCUCCGUCUUUAAAAACGAGACCAACUAACCAACGACCGAAUGCUUUGAAAACUAGUCUUAGAGGAUUCUUACCGGGGGCCUUUUGUUUUUCCCAUUGAAGGAGUAACUGAGUCUGAUGGAUUCCAUCUCCAGCUCCACCCCCACCUCACCUUUCCUGCUGCUCCUGCCCUAGUGCACUCCCACCUGAGCUCACCUUUCACCUGGAUUAUCUCAGCAGUUCCAGACUGUGCAUGCCACCUCCAGUUUCUUCUACACCCUCUGCCGUGGUAACUGGUCAUACAGUGCUCUGCUCUCUGCUCUACCUUCCUGGCCCUUUACCCUCCCUCCUCAAGACACACUCUCAUUAGCCAGCGGGGAAAAAAACUAAGUUGGAUACACACCUCACAUCUGACACUAAUAUAAAUUCCUAAUACAUGAA